rnacentral:misc_RNA from 1 species
GAUGAAGAACGUAGCGAAAUGCGAUAAGUAAUGUGAAUUGCAGAAUUCAGUGAAUCAUCGAAUCUUUGAACGCACCUUGCGCUCCUUGGUAUUCCGAGGAGCAUGCCUGUUUGAGUGUCAUUAAAUUCUCAACCAUUAUCAACUUUUGCUGAUAAUGGCUUGGAUGUGGGGGUCUAUUUUGCUGGCUUCUCAGAUAGUCAGCUCCCCUUAAAUGCAUUAGCCGGUGCCCCGCGUGGACUGUCUAUUGGUGUGAUAAUUAUCUACGCUAUAGACAUCUGCAAUCAUAUGGGUUUGCGCUGCUUCUAACAGUCUGUUGAUUCAGACAAUACAUGACAAUUUGACCUCAAAUCAGGUAGGACUACCCGCUGAACUUAAGCAUAUCAAUACGCGGAGGA